rnacentral:lncRNA from 1 species
AUGUUUUGUUAUCUGUUUACUUUUUAGGAUUAAAUGACAUAUGUAAUACAAUAUCUAGCCCUAAGCAGGUGGUAGAUUCAGAAUAGUUAGAAACAUGAGUCUAAAUUUGUGUAAAGUUCACUUUGAAAAAUAAAAUUGCCCCAUAUAAGUAAAUAAUGGUCUUCCUUCUUAGGAAAAAAAAAAACCCUGGAGGACAAAUUUUUAUGUGUACUGUGAUACUCUGACUUCAGAAAACCUGAUAGUUGGAUCUAAUGGAUCUAAGUCUUGGAGGAAAGAAAAAAAUUUCCAUCAAUUGACAGGGAGACAUUGCUUGUUUCCUGAAAAUACAUCAGAAACAUAUUGGGAAGUUUUAAAUGCCUCAAGAAAGCAAAAGUAUUUUAAAAAUCCUAUUAGAUAGGAGUCUAGAGAAGCUGGGCAAUGCACAAGCAUUUAUCAUGACUCAGCUAUAUGUGAAGACUGCAUUACAAAUGAGAGAUAAAACAUGUUACACACAAGCCCACAUUUUAUUUCAUUAUCUUGGGCUGAUAAUGCCCUCUUCCCAUCAUAUGGUGAAAGGCUACACCACUUUUUUUUUUUAUCAAUUUCAACUGCUUCUUCCAUGAAACCUUUCAUAAUUAAAGAUGUGAAGCUUCAUCCAUGUAAAAGAAUGGCUACUGUAUUAGGUCUCCUUAAAUCAACAUUUGAAUUUUGUUUUAUAGUUAUUGUGUUAAUCUGUGGAAGAGGAAUCUGAAAAACAGGCUGCUUUCUGAAUUUCUGUCAGCAUUUGGGUAGUUUAUGUAAAUUAUUUUAGGCCUCAGUUUCUAACUUCAACAAAAAUGGAGAUGAUUAUUUUUUCACAAAUUUCUACCACCAGAAUAAUUUGGUAAAGAGAAGAACAAUAUACUCUGAAUGUCACUAAAAUCAUAUGCCCCAUCAGUGAGAAAUUCUCUGGAUGAAUAAGUGAUCUACUAUGCUGUGUUUACAUAAUUCCAUUUCAAGAACAAACUUAUUACAUUUUUGAGUUACCUGUUCAGAACACAUUUGGUAAAUUAUAUAGCAUAAAAGUUAAAUUAUGGUCACUGACAUCAGAUAUCUUGCUUUUAAUUCCUACUCUGUAGCUGUGUGAACUUUGGCAUGUCCUUUUCAUUCUGCACCUCAGUUUACUCAGCCAUAUGUUCAGUGUUUCAACAGCUCCUACCUCAUCAGUUUGGUGUUAAGAUUUGAUAUGGUUUGGCUGUUUCCUCAGCAAGAUCUCAUUUUGAAUCAUAGUUCCCAUAAUCCCCAUGUGUCUUCGGAGGGGCCCAGUGGGAGGUAAUUAAAUCAUGGGGGCUGUUACCCCCAUGCUGCUGUUGUUAUAAGUCUACUAAAAAACGGCCGGGCACGGUGGCUCACGCCUGUAAUCCCAGCACUUUGGGAGGCCAAGGUAGGCAAAUCACGAGGUCAGGAGAUCGAAACUAUCCUGGCUAACACGAUGAAACCCCGUCUCUACUAAAAAUAAAAAAAAUUAGCUGGGCGUGGUGGCGGGCACCUGUAAUCCCCGCUACUCGGGAGGCUGAGGCAGGAGCAUGGCAUGAACCCGGGAGGCAGAGCUUGCAGUGAGCCAAGAUUGCGCCACUGCACUCCAGCCUGGGUGACAGAGCGAGACUCCGUCUCAAAAAAAGUCUACUAAAAAAAAUGUAGAAACAACUUUGGAAAUGGGUAACAGGAAGAGAUUAGAACAGUUUGGAGGGCUCAGAAGAAGUCAGGAAAAUGUCUUCCUGAUGUUGUUGUGAUAGUGAGUGAGUGCUCAUGAGAUCUGAUGGUUUUAUAAGGGAUUUUUUCCUCUUGGUUCUGCACUUCUCCUUCCUGCUGCCACAUGAAGAAGGACAUGCUUGCUUCCCAUUCCACCAUGAUUGUAAGUUUCCUGAGGCCUCCCCAGCCAUGCUGAACUGUAAGUCAAUUAAUCUUCUUUCCUUUACACAUUAGCCAGUCUUAAGUAUGUCUUUAUUAGCAGUGUGAGAAUGCACUAAUACAAUAUUAAAUGAGAAAAAGAAGCAAAGAGAACAUAAUAGUGCCAGGCCAAAUGAAAAUAUUUAUUAUCAUUAUUGUCAUCAGUAUUUUAACCAUUGUUUUAAAAACUAUAUUAAAAAAUACAAAUUAUGCUUUUUUAUAUUUAUGAUCCCUGAAAAUCUGAGAACCCAAACUAGGUACCGUUAAACCAACUUGAUUCUAAAAUUUCAAGUAGCUCUCAGAUUCUGUGACUAUACGUGACUUAAAGUGAAAAAAAAUUACUUAUGUCUUCUUCACAUCCAUACAAUCCCUCAUAUUUUGAUUAGGCAUAGCUGUCUAUAUGACAACCAUGGUUCAGUAAGAAGAUAAUCCAAAAAUGAUAGUCCCAGGAUAAGCCAAAUAAAUACAUAAACUCUAGUGAUUUUAUUUGUUUCUUUUCAUCAUCUCAGAGCCUAGCUGUGUCCAGCAUGUAGUUGGCAUCUAUAAAUAUUGAUUGAUUGAAUGAAGUAGCAUGGGCCUUCGGAGAUCUAGGAAGAAUGACAUAAGUUGCUUAAGGUUUCUCCAAAUGAACUAGUAUUUACAUGACUCCGGCACUUGUUCUAUUGCCUACAACAGGAAGAUUGAGAUGGGCCACUAUGAGCCAUGGAAAAAGAGGACUGAGAAUAAACCACAGAGAUUGCAAUGGAAGCAGAGACAUCUUAAUACUUUCAACACCAGAGGAAGACCAGUGUGUCUUCAAUCUUUUAAAGAAGUUGGAAGAGGUGAGAAACUCCAUCUGAUAAGAAAACAGAAUCUUUAAGAAGUGGACUUGCUGAUGGUCACAGGGCUAGCGAAAGAGCUGCAACUACCUGAUUCCUUCACUGAGACAUGACCGUUUCCUGCUUUCUAAGGUAUAUAUAUUCAAGUGGAGGAAAUAGAACACACAUGCGAGAGAAUCACUUUCUGAGAGAGCUGAAGACUAUUUGAUGGACCACCAUAAAUUUCAUCAAAGGAAACAGAGCAGAGAAUUGACCAAUAACAAACAGCUGGAAAUGAAAGAACUGUGGGCAAGUGACGGAGGUGAGAGAAGAUUGAAGAUACUUUAAAUCAAAUAUUUUAAUAUAUAGACAACCAGGUUUUUCUGUUUGAGCACAGAAUUUGAUUUCACUGUAAGAGUACACGUUUUGAAUCCUGCUUAAACAAGAAAACAAACAAGACCCUCACAUUUUAUUGAGUACUUCCUAUAUGUUAAAAUGUAUACUGGCUUUUUUUCCUUAUGUCAUUUUAUUUAACACUUUCAAGAGUUCUGAAAAGUAGACUCUUUUCUCCGAGUUUACAGAUACAAAUAAUUGAAAUGAUUGUUUUAUGACAGAGGUAAAAUAUAUAGAUAAAAGUAAACAAAGAAAGUCUCAGGGGUAAUCCACAUAGAUUUUUAUUCAGAAUAUUCAUUGUACUGUACUAUGAAGUAUAAAUGUGGUUGUUAUAUGGUAAUAUUUAGAAGUUACUGGGAGAUCCUAUCCUCCUAUUGCACUCCUCCUUAUUGUUAAAGGAUUAGUGACUUUCCUCCAAAUGACAGUGUUUUUAGUGAGGAAAAAGAAUAAUAAGAUUUUAUUACCUUAAAGUUGUUUACUAGAUUAAUUAAAAAAAAUUAAUUGACCUUCCCAAUUAUAUUCAAAGGCCUCCUCUAAAGGAUUAUAUGCUUAUAUAGGCAAUUAUUUCUUAUCUGUUCUCAACAGAAUAGCCAGCAAGAUAGUUUUACUCAUUAGUCAGGUAUAUUAAGGUUCUCCAGAGAAACAGGGCCAAUAGAAAAUCUAUCUAUGCACCUAUCAUCUGUCUAUCUCAAGAUAUUUAUUAUGAGAAAUUGGCCUAAGAAAUAGCAGAACAGAUGGUGUUAGCCUUAGGCUAAGAAUGGGAGAAGACAGAUGUCUGGGAAUAAGCAAUUAGGCAGGGGGAGCAAAUUCUCCCUUCCUCCACUUUUUGUUCUACUUGGGCCCUCGGUUGAUGGGAUGAUGCUCCCCUACAUUGGUGAAGACAGCUUUUUUUUACUCAGUCUACUGAUUCAAAUGUUAACCUCUUCCAGAAACAUCCUCGCAGACACACCCAGAAAUAUAUUUUAUCAGCUCUCCAAGCAUCCUUCAGCCCAGUCAAGUUGACACAGACAUUUAACCAUCCCAGGGGGAUUUGGGAUAUAGGCCCUAUCACGUCUUCCCUGGAACUCAUGGCAGUAGAGGACUGCUGUGGUACAACACGAGACCUGGGUUCGAAUCUGCUCACUCUCCUUCUAGCUGUGCCACCAUGGACAAACCACUUACCCUCUCUGAGCACACUGCUCAUCAUCAGGAAAACAGGAAUAACAGUAACCUGUCUUUCAGAGGCUGCCCUUCACUAUCCAAUUUAAAACUUUAACAGCCCUUAACAUUUGCUGUCUUUCUCCACAUUAUUUUCUCAUUAGUAUUUAUCAUUGUUUUGCAUUUUUAUUUUUGUAAUGAUUUUCUAAAGUAGAAUAUAAGCUAUAGGAUAACAAGGUAGAUGCAGUCUCUACCCUCAGAACCUAUAUUCCUUCAAGGAAGAUGUAUAACUAAACUGGUAAUGACAGGAACGUACACUGGUAUGACAGAAGCUCAUGGUGCUCUGGGAAUCCAGAAAAAGGGCCACUGGUCCAGGCUUGUUUACAGAGCUAAUGAAGAAUCUUAGGAUAUUUACCAUUAUUCACUGUCCCUUAGAUGAUAUAGUCUCUUUAUGCUAAAGGGAUAGUAGAGUCAGAGGUCCCCAGGAUCUGAUCUGAGCUGGUUAUGAUUGACUACUCAUAACCAGUGUCAGAGAAAUGUUCAUACUGCCAGGAUCCAUUCAGAUAUAUGGAAACAGAUGUUGCCUGAGGACAUGAUGUGAGGUUCAGAGAAGUGAAUCAUUUUGCACGUGGCCAACAGACAAUUGUGUGCUAUAAAUUACAGUCAUUGUGACCAGAUUCAAGGGUUUUACUCCAGCAAUUUUGUUCAUCUUUUGUCACAGGGUAACAUGAGAAAAGAAAUCACAAAUAUAGAUGGCAUCAAAAUAUUCUCAAGAAACUAGUGGACUGCACAGCAUAGGUCAGAAUAGAAAGUUCAUCUCAAAGAAGCAUAUUGUGGCUUUUCUGAAAAUGGAUUGCACACACCCCUUCUGCAAAACACGUAUCAGAAUAUACCUUUGACGCUUGUAUUUCUGGGACCUUAUCUCUUUCAGGGCAUUCACUGCAUCUUUGCAGCUCCCCUAUCUCUAUUUUACAUAGCUCAUACCUCCCUUGAUUUUCUAGAAUUCAGGCAGGUUAUUCAUUUCGGAAGAUCACAGAUAUUUUUUAAAAAAGUAUAUACCACGAAUAUUGGAGUUUCUAUAGGAGAGUCAUAAAAUAAAAUAAAUAUGGGGAUAGGAUCCAUAUAUUUAUUUUGAAACAAAUAGCUAGGAAAUUGAGGAAUUAGGAAGUAUUUAUGCCAAUGACUGGCCUUAAGACUAUGCUGCCUUAAGAUAACAGUAAGUCCAUUGCUAGUAGUAAGUGAGAGAAGAAGGUUAAUGCUGUGCAAAUAUUAAAACAUUGUAACACUAAGAUUCUCUGUCUUCAAUAUGUGUUAAUUACUAGAAUAGGCCUUUCGGGGAAAUUAGUGUUUGGCUGGUACCCAACAGCAUGGCAAUUUUUUAGCUACUUAUCUGCUGAGCAGGCGUCCUUCCUGCCAUUUUCUCCCCAUAUAUUCAACCUCUUCCCAACUCUGAAUGGUGUCCAAUAUGGGAUGCUUUGCCUAAAAUGUAGUGACUAAGUCUUGAUAAUUAUGAAAAUGUGUCAAUUAUUAAAAUGCUGUUAAAACAUGCAAAUAGGAUCAUAUGCUAAAGAGAGGGGAAAAGGAAUAAUUACCCCAAUUACAGGUUAUGAGGGAGUUAGAUGAGGAAUUUCUGAACAGAGAACAGUUUCCACCACUUACAAGAAACAAUCUCUCUAUUAUUGCAAUGUCUCCUUACCCUUUACAGGACACUAGGGCUCAUGGAUACCUGUUCCUGAGAAGCGCAAGGGAAACUCACGCCAAUGCUGUUAUAUUGGAAGUCCCUUUGAGAUCCUUAGCACAAAUCUGUAAUUUUGGCAGCUAAUGGAGACAGUUAUUGAGGAAGGCUGAAUGCACUCUGAGUCUGGAAUGUGGAAGUGUGGACAAUUCUGCAGAGCAGGCCUACAGUGGAGGAGCACAGGAAAAUCUUCAACACAGGAAAAAAUUGUGGACCACCUACUUAAGGAGGAAUUCCAAAGACUUGCUGUACAACAUAGUACCUAUAGUCAAUAAUAUAGUAUUGUGUGCUUUAAAAUAUGUUAAGAAAAUAGGUCUCAUGUAAAGUGUUCUUACCAAAAAACAAACAAACAAACAAACAAAAACCACAAGGAAAUUUGUGGAGGUGAGAGACAUUUAGUACCUUGAUUGUGGUGAUGGUGUCAUGAGCUCAUCCAUCUGUCGAAUUUCAUCAAACUGUGCGCAUUAAAUAUGUACAAUUUUGUGUAUCAAGUAUUUUUCAAUACAGCUAAAAAUAUGUACUUUAUUUAUAAAAAACAUACGUUUUUUUUAGUACAGAACAUUGAAUAGUUUUAACAAAGAAGGCAUCUAUGGCUGGACAAGAGGAAGUUCUCAACCCUCCCUAAGCCAUUGAUUAUCCACACACUGUGACCUCUUCUCUCCGGGGUUAUGUUCUCAUUUAUUUAAUAUGAGGGAAGGAAGGUCAUUCUCUCAAACUCGUGUAGAUUUUCACAACAGCUUAGUGAUUUAUGUUAUACAAAUAUAAUCUUUUAACCAUCAAUUAUGAUAUAUAUUUUUCUUAAUGGGCAAUCUGAACAUAAUGAUAGCAUUGUUUUGUAUUAAAGGUUAAAAUAAUAAAUGUAAAAUUCUUAGCAGAGUGCCUGAGGCAAAUAAAUACUUUUUACUAUUAAUACUAUUAUUAUUUAUUCUUAUCAUUAUUUUUAUUUCUAUUAAGCCAGCAAAUAUGGUGAAAUCUUCCAGAUGCCCUUGCUGAAGGACUCCAGAUGUCAAAGAGAAGUGGCCAUUUGUUAGACAGCUGUUCAGUUAACCUGUCUGUCUUGGUUAAAAACACCUGCACAUACUGUCCCCAGUUCAAUCUGAGCCCAUGGCAGUGACAAAGUCUGUGGGAUUUGGGUUGCCUCAUGGGUGGUGAACCAUAUUGUUGGAUAGAUCACUCUCUGAAAAGCCAGCUAUCCUUCAUGUUUGAAACGAUUAAACAUGAAAGCUCAUUACAACAAUAAUGGCUGUUUUGAUAUUUCCAACUAGCUCUAGUGAGGUGGCCACUGGAGAGUCCUCAAUGAGGUGUAAAGCAUUGGCUAUGCAGUGGGUGUGAAGCCCAACUGGCCCAUUUGUUUUCACAAAUCUUACCUUCUGGGGAUAAUGUUAAGUACACGGAUGACUUGGCACAUAGUGGCCUAAUUCAAAG